rnacentral:rRNA from 1 species
GAGUUUGAUCCUGGCUCAGGACGAACGCUGGCGGCGUGCUUAACACAUGCAAGUCGAGCGGUAAGGCCUCUUUGGGGGUACACGAGCGGCGAACGGGUGAGUAACACGUGAGCAAUCUGCCCUCCACUUUGGGAUAACUCUGGGAAACUGGGGCUAAUACCGGAUAUGACCGUAUGCUGCAUGGCGUGUGGUGGAAAGUUUUUGCGGUGGGGGAUGGGCUCGCGGCCUAUCAGCUUGUUGGUGGGGUAAUGGCCUACCAAGGCGACGACGGGUAGCCGGCCUGAGAGG